rnacentral:rRNA from 1 species
GUGUCAGCAGCCGCGGUAAAACGUAGGUCCCGAGCGUUAUCCGGAUUUACUGGGCGUAAAGCGCGUUCAGGCGGCCGCGCAAGUCGGGCAUGAAAUCUCUCGGCUCAACCGGGAGGGGUUGUCCGAUACUGUGCGGCUGGAGGGCAGUAGAGGGUGGUGGAAUUCCGGGUGUAGUGGUGAAAUGCGUAGAGAUCCGGAGGAACACCAGUGGCGAAAGCGGCCACCUGGACUGUACCUGACGCUGCAACGCGAAAGCUAGGGGAGCGAACGGGAUUAGAUACCCCGGUAGUCC